GUCGAACGGGGUAUAUAGUUAAGUAAUUGAUUGUAUACCUAGUGGCGGACGGGUGAGUAACGCGUGAGCAACCUGCCUCUAACAGGGGGAUAACGUACCGAAAGGCACACUAAUACCGCAUAAAAUGUAGUUGCGCAUGUAACUGCAUAGAAAGGGAUACCGGUUAGAGAUGGGCUCGCGUCCGAUUAGAUAGUUGGUAGGGUAAUAGCCUACCAAGUCAACGAUCGGUAGCCGACCUGAGAGGGUGAUCGGCCACAUUGGAACUGAGAACGGUCCAAACUCCUACGGGAGGCAGCAGUGGGGAAUCUUGGGCAAUGGGGGGAACCCUGACCCAGCGACGCCGCGUGAGGGAAGAAGGUUUUCGGAUUGUAAACCUCUGUUCUUGGUGAAGAGUAUAAGACGGUAGCCAAGGAGGAAGCCCCGGCUAACUACGUGCCAGCAGCCGCGGUAAUACGUAGGGGGCGAGCGUUGUCCGGAAUGAUUGGGCGUAAAGGGCGCGUAGGCGGCGACAUAAGUCUGAAGUGAAAGUCCCAAAUUCAAGUUAGGAAUUGCUUUGGAAACUAUAUUGCUUGAGUGCAGGAGAGGUCAUCGGAAUUCCCGGUGUAGCGGUGGAAUGCGUAGAGAUCGGGAGGAACACCAGUGGCGAA
rnacentral:rRNA from 1 species